AUGUCCUCGCUGCCAAUCCCCGACAAUCUCCUCAAAGAAAUCUUCCUCCGCUUGUCCGCCCCAGCCGAUCUCGUCCGUGCAUCCGCCACUUGCAUCUCCUUCCGCCGCGUCUCCACUGAUCGCGCCUUCCUCCGGCAGUACCGCAAGCUCCACGCCCGACCCUUGCUCGGCUUCCUCGACGCACACAUAGUCUUCCACCCCACCAAACCGCCUCACCCCUCCGCGACGGCAGCCAGCGGCACGGCCCUCGGCGCCGACAUCACUUUCUCCUUCCUCACCGCCCCCGUCAGCGACCGGCGCAUCCAGGAUGUCCGCGAUGUCCGCGUCCUCCUUGACAGAGCUCCCCAUCCCCACCUCCACCUUGAUAACAAAUAUGAAAUCCUCUUCCCGGAGCUGGUGGUGUGAGACCCUUUGCACGGACGGUACCUCCUGCUCCAACGUAUCCCUGAUAACCUAGCCGCUUUGGUGGAAAAAAUAUACUCCUACUGUGAGACCUUCCUCGCUCCCCCUGGCGACGACGAGACGUCAUUCAGCGUGGUCUGGAUGGCACAGUGUGUAACUAAGGUGGUCACUUUUGUGUUCUCUCCCAAGACCGAACAAUGGCGUGGUAUUUCAUCCCAGAGCUGGAGCGAUUUAUUUGCUGGCUUGUUGUCGUCGCCAAGGAAGGGGCUCUUCUCCUGGUGCCAAUAUGCCUAUGGCUCCUUCUAUUGGGUGGCACAUUGGGUGCAAAACUUGCUGGUGUUUGACACCAGGAAGAUGCAGUUCUCCAUUGCUGAACCCCCGCCUGAAGCCAGAGGUUUACGCGGUCUGGAUAUAGCCAUUGUGGAGGCAGGGGAAGGCAGACUUGGGAUGCUUAUGCGUGCAGAAAACCCAAAUCACAUCAGCUUUACCAUCAGGCAAAACGAUUGUGUGUAUUCGGGCCAGUGGCAGCUGGAGGAGAUAAUUCCAUUGAAUUCUCGGUACUUGUUUGUAGGUUCAACAGGGGGGCACUUGUUCCGACAAAAGUGUCCAAGCCCAUGGCUCGAUGCAGGCUAUUUCUUGAUGGAUGUCCAGACAUUUCAGCUUGAGAGGCUGUUUGUUUCGAAUUCCUUCAUCCUCAUGAUGUGCGCAUAUUACAACUUCCUGCACUCGUUGUUUUCAACACGUACCGUAUCCAGUGGUAAACAUUUUGCUACUUCCUUUUCUUCCCUUCUCUUCAUAGUUAUUGCAGCUACUCUGAUGCUUGAUAUUUCGUUAUCAUGA
rnacentral:rRNA from 1 species